GACAGAGGUCCCGAGCGUUAGGCGGAAUCACUGGGCUUAAAGCGUGUGUAGGUGGAUGCCUAAGUACCUUGUGAAAUCCCACGGCUUAACCGUGGAAUUGCUUGGUAUACUGGGUGUCUUGAGCCACUUAGGGGCAACCGGAACAAAUGGUGGAGCGGUGAAAUGCGUAGAUAUCAUUUGGAACGCCAAUGGUGAAAACAGGUUGCUGGGAGUGUGCUGACACUGAGACACGAAAGCCAGGGGAGCGAACGGG
rnacentral:rRNA from 1 species